rnacentral:rRNA from 1 species
AUGAGGUUCUCCAAGGCCUGCCGGUGGAAGGUGGCGCUGCAGGUUGAGCGGGGUGGCGCUCCGGUGGCGACGACGGCGGGGCCCGGUCGGAUCCGGGCGGAUCUGGCCGGGACGGAUCCAUUUCCGGCGGAUUUGGCGUGGAGGCGGCCGGAUCCGGCGAGAAUGAGGGCCGGCGGCGCCAUGGAGGUCCCUGUCCAGCAAGAAAGAGGGAGAGAGUACUCCUUCCCCUCCAUAUUUUGCACCUUAUCCGCACCCCGCGCGGCGGCGGACGAGAAGCUGAGGGGCGGCGCCGCACUCUCCGACUUCUGCCUCCACCCCAUCUACGCGUCAUCCUCCGUCCGCGCGGGCGCAGGCGGCUACCGUGCCCCGGAGAUGGUGGACACGCGGCGGCCCAUGCUGAAGGCGGACGACUACUCCUUGGGCGUGCUCCUGCUGGAGCUCCUCACCCGCAAGUACCCGACGGACGCGUCCUUGCAGCAGCGUGACAGCGACACGCUGGACCUGCCGCGGUUGGUGCAGUCGGUGGUGUGCGAGGAGUGGACGUCCGAUCUGUUUGUAUUGGAGCUGGUGCCGAUAUAG